rnacentral:rRNA from 1 species
GGACGACGCUGGCGGCGCGCCUAACACAUGCAAGUCGAACGAGAGAUGAGGAGCUUGCUCUUCAAAUCGAGUGGCGAACGGGUGAGUAACGCGUGAGGAACCUGCCUCAAAGAGGGGGACAACAGUUGGAAACGACUGCUAAUACCGCAUAAGCCCACGGCUCGGCAUCGAGCAGAGGGAAAAGGAGUGAUCCGCUUUGAGAUGGCCUCGCGUCCGAUUAGCUAGUUGGUGAGGUAACGGCCCACCAAGGCAACGAUCGGUAGCCGGACUGAGAGGUUGAACGGCCACAUUGGGACUGAGACACGGCCCAGACUCCUACGGGAGGCAGCAGUGGGGAAUAUUGCACAAUGGGGGAAACCCUGAUGCAGCGACGCCGCGUGGAGGAAGAAGGUCUUCGGAUUGCAAACUCCUGUUGUUGAGGAAGAUAAUGACGGUACUCAACAAGGAAGUGACGGCUAACUACGUG